rnacentral:rRNA from 1 species
GACGAACGCUGGCGGCGUGCUUAACACAUGCAAGUCGAACGAUGAAGCCUUCGGGUGGAUUAGUGGCGAACGGGUGAGUAACACGUGGGCAAUCUGCCCUGUACUUUGGGAUAAGCCUUGGAAACGGGGUCUAAUACCGGAUAUCACUUCUGACCGCAUGGUUGGUUGUUGAAAGUUCUGGCGGUACAGGAUGAGCCCGCGGCCUAUCAGCUUGUUGGUGGGGUAAUGGCCUACCAAGGCGACGACGGGUAGCCGGCCUGAGAGGGUGACCGGCCACACUGGGACUGAGACACGGCCCAGACUCCUACGGGAGGCAGCAGUGGGGAAUAUUGCACAAUGGGCGAAAGCCUGAUGCAGCGACGCCGCGUGAGGGAUGACGGCCUCGGUUGUAA